rnacentral:rRNA from 1 species
AGUCACUGACAUUAGAUACCCCGGUAGUCCCAGCCGUAAACAAUGUGCGUUAGGUGUGUCGGUAACCACGUGUUACUGAUGCGCCGAAGAGAAAUCGUGAAACGCACCACCUGGGAAGUACGGUCGCAAGGCUGAAACUUAAAGGAAUUGGCGGGGAGCACCACAACAGGUGGAGCCUGCGGUUUAAUUGGAUUCAACGCCGGACAUCUCACCGGAUAAGACAGCUGAAUGAUUGUCAAUCUGAAGGUUUUACAUGACUAGCUG